CUGAUAAAUGCGCCUCAAGGGUGGACGAAAUUUUCGGCCCUUUAUCCGACGGGAUAGCGCACAAAUAGGUCAG
rnacentral:ncRNA from 1 species